GCUGUUCAUCUCGAUGUAUCCCCCAGAUCCGGUGAGUCCUCGCCCAUUUAGGUGGUUGGGCUCCUGGUGGGGAUGGGCCAGAUCGAGCACGGCCAUCAAUGGCGACCCCUUCCGGCCUGGAUACAUGGCUAGCGGCAGUGGCUGGGCGAGCUUCUCCUCCUUCCUCUACUGGUCAAGAUCCAUGGUUCAUCCAUGGGGUUGUUCUGGCGUCGGCCAGGACACCAAGUUGUAGUGCGGCGCCGCUGCCAUGUUAUUCGGGGCAAUACAUGGUGUGGUUCAUGUCGUGCAUGCAGUUUGGAGCACAGGAACAUGCAGUGCAAAAAUGUUGCGUUUGUGUGUAAAAAUACGGACUCAUUUGAAUGCAGUUCACGCCUAGACAUGUGUUUAGCAAAUACAGUUUGGAGUAUCUGCACAUGCAGUGCAUACCGUGAUUUUUGUGUUUGAGGAUUUUAUGUAUAAAAAUUACAGGAACUCGUUUGAUUGAAGUACGCGGUGAAGCAUGG
rnacentral:rRNA from 1 species